UAAGGAAUAUUGGUCAAUGGACGCAAGUCUGAACCAGCCAUGCCGCGUGAAGGAUGAAGGUCCUCUGGAUUGUAAACUUCUUUUAUCUGGGACGAAAACGGGAUUUUUAUCUCAAUUGACGGUACCAGAGGAAUAAGCACCGGCUAACUCCGUGCCAGCAGCCGCGGUAAUACGGAGGGUGCGAGCGUUAUCCGGAUUUACUGGGUUUAAAGGGUGCGUAGGUGGGCUUAUAAGUCAGUGGUGAAAUCUCCGAGCUUAACUUGGAAACUGCCGUUGAUACUAUAGGUCUUGAAUUAUCUGGAGGUAAGCGGAAUAUGUCAUGUAGCGGUGAAAUGCUUAGAUAUGACAUAGAACACCCAUUGCGAAGGCAGCUUACUACAUAUAAAUUGACGCUGAGGCACGAAAGCGUGGGGA
rnacentral:rRNA from 1 species